rnacentral:rRNA from 1 species
GUGGGGAAUUUUGGACAAUGGGCGCAAGCCUGAUCCAGCCAUUCCGCGUGCAGGAUGAAGGCCUUCGGGUUGUAAACUGCUUUUGUACGGAACGAAAAGCCUCUGGUUAAUACCCGGGGGUCAUGACGGUACCGUAAGAAUAAGCACCGGCUAACUACGUGCCAGCAGCCGCGGUAAUACGUAGGGUGCGAGCGUUAAUCGGAAUUACUGGGCGUAAAGCGUGCGCAGGCGGUUUUGUAAGACAGAUGUGAAAUCCCCGGGCUUAACCUGGGAACUGCGUUUGUGACUGCAAGGCUAGAGUACGGCAGAGGGGGGUGGAAUUCCUGGUGUAGCAGUGAAAUGCGUAGAUAUCAGGAGGAACACCGAUGGCGAAGGCAGCCCCCUGGGCCUGUACUGACGCUCAUGCACGAAAGCGUGGGGAGCAAACAGGAUUAGAAACCCCGGUAGUCC